GACGAACGCUGGCGGCGUGCUUAACACAUGCAAGUCGAACGAAAAGAGGGAAAGAGCCUGCUCUUUCCGGAAUUGAGUGGCAAACGGGUGAGUAACACGUAAACAACCUGCCUUCAGGAUGGGGACAACAGACGGAAACGACUGCUAAUACCGAAUAAGUUCCAAGAGCCGCAUGGCCCAUGGAAGAAAAGGUGGCCUCUACCUGUAAGCUAUCGCCUGAAGAGGGGUUUGCGUCUGAUUAGCUGGUUGGAGGGGUAACGGCCCACCAAGGCGACGAUCAGUAGCCGGUCUGAGAGGAUGAACGGCCACACUGGAACUGAGACACGGUCCAGACUCCAACGGGAGGCAGCAGUGGGGAAUCUUCCGCAAUGGGCGAAAGCCUGACGGAGCAACGCCGCGUGAGUGAUGACGGCCUUCGGGUUGUAAAACUCUGUGAUCCGGGACGAAAAGGCAGAGUGCGAAGAACAAACUGCAUUGACGGUACCGGAAAAGCAAGCCACGGCUAACUACGUG
rnacentral:rRNA from 1 species